UCUCUUCCUUCUAGCAACUCCCUGCUCCUGCAGUCCCUCCGUGACCUUCCUGAUGGGGAGAUCCUCAAGACUUUUCCCAUGAGCUCGGGGUUCCUGAGGCCCAGAAGAAGAGGACAGAGUUUUAAUGGAGACAAGAGGCAGAGAAGAAAAACUUACUGUAAAACAAAAUACAGAAAAGACCUAAGUUCUAGCUUCAACGUGCGAAGAUGGUCUUCAGCUCAAACUUCCCCAAUUUAUUCCAACUUCUAAAGCAGUAGUCUAAGGCACUAGGACAAGAAGCAGAUGAACAUGUAUAGCCAGUAUUGGGCCACCAUGCCCGUCCCACCUAGACUCAUACCUUGUCUCAUCCACUCGACCUCGUCCUCGGUGACAAAGCUGCACAAGGCUUUUGCCAUUGCCAGUCGUAUUGCUCCAGCCUGCGCUGACCUCCCGCCCCCUGAGACUGUGCAGGUCACGUCGUGCUUUCCCAGCCGGUCAACAAAGUGGAAAGGGAACAUCAGCUGUUCUCUAAAGCACAGCACAAGUAAAUGUGGUUACGUUUACUAUAAAGAUACAUAAUUAUGUAAACAACUGAAAUUCUGAAUAUUCAUAAAAACAAUAUUCUGCAUG
rnacentral:lncRNA from 1 species